rnacentral:rRNA from 1 species
UUAGCCCUAAACCUAGGUAAUUAACUCAACAAAAAUACUCGCCAGAGGACUACUAGCAACAGCUUAAAACUCAAAGGACUUGGCGGUGCUUUAUAUCCAU